rnacentral:misc_RNA from 1 species
CAAAAACACAUAAAUAAAAGCAACCAAACAUGAAGCAUACAAAUAAUAGGAGCGAUGUUACAAAUUCCAGAAAAUAAAUUAAAAAAAGGAAAAAUUCAAAUCCUAAAGCAUUGAAUUUCUCGGUUUCAAACUAAAUCCAAACAUGUUUCAUACAAAACAUCAAUCUUUGCUCAUUGUGUAUGCUCACAACCAUCAAAAGUAUAUCACUAUAGUUUUUAAGCUAAGAAAUCGAAACGAACAAAAUAAUGAACAGAACCGGCACCGGUAACAGCAAUUCUUCGUAAAGAAAGAAACAGAUCAUAAUUCUGAGCUGUUAACAUCUCGAGUCCAACCAUUAAAUGUGAAAACCUCGAAAUUAUGCUUUAAGCGACGGCGACAGGCUGCUGCUUUGCAGGCUCGAGAUUCUUCUUUUUUGAUUUAUCGUCGCUGCCGAUGAAGUCUUCAAUGUUGUAAAUGACGGUGAUGUAGAGGGAGCAACUAGGGCACCGAGCGAUUUCCUCGCCGAGGCGGAGAUCCUCCUUGGUGAUUUGAAAUAGGUCGCCGCAAGGGCACGGGUAGGUGUAUGCUUGAAACUCCUCGUUCCAUUCCAUGUCCUCUAUCUCCACGUCGUCGUACGACAUCUUUUCCAAGCCCUUCGGUUUGUUUUGAAACAAACUCUGCUUCGUCUCUGUAUAUUGUUUGAUUAGAAAGGGGCAAACUUUGCCUCGUCUCUGUUUAUUGUUUGAUUAGAGAAAGGAAAGUCGCCUUGAGAUCUUAU